rnacentral:rRNA from 1 species
UACGAGGGGAGCAAGCGUUGUUCGGAUUUACUGGGCGUAAAGGGCGCGUAGGCGGCGCAACAAGUCACUUGUGAAAUCUCCGGGCUUAACCCGGAGCGGCCAAGUGAUACUGUCGUGCUAGAGUGCGGAAGGGGCUACUGGAAUUCUCGGUGUAGCGGUGAAAUGCGUAGAUAUCGAGAGGAACACCUGCGGCGAAGGCGGGUAGCUGGGCCGACACUGACGCUGAGGCGCGAAAGCCAGGGGAGCGAACGGG